UCUAAUGGCUUUGAGCUGAAUUAGAGCGAGGGUGGUUAUUUGAAGCAAGAUUAAAAUCCCAACACUUUUCUCUCCCCUAGGGGCUAAGUGUCAGACAGUAGCAUUCAUACCAGCAAAAACACUACAGAAAGGAGUGCUGUCCCUCUCCUCACAUGUGAUGCAGCGGUACAUCAACAACACUCUCCUCUUGAUGAUAUUGAUUUGUCCUCUGACAUUUUCAUUAGUGUGCUUGAAGCACUCCAACUGAAGUAAUGCAGAAGAAAGAAACUGUGAAGCUAUAGGGUUUACGCACCCUGCGUGUUACAAAACUGCACUCCCUUCUAUUUACUGGAGAGGCACUCAGACUUCCCAGAGACGGAGGGGUACUUCUGCAGCUUUCUCUCCGCGAACCUUGGAUUUGUUCUCUCCGUCUCUUGCUGUUAAAAUCCUGGGUGUACGUGCCUGACAAGAUGGAUGGGCAGUAUAUUUUCUCUUAAGUGCAUACACAAAUUAGAGGAAAAUUAAUAGAAGAUUGCAAUAUCAAUAAUUUGAAUUAAAAAAAUUAGCAUGUCAUCUUUAAAAUUCCUACUCACUUGUGCUUAAUUCCAGCUUCCUAAUGAGCUGUUUCUGAAAAUUUAUGUUCUUUUUACCUCUGGCUUCAAGGUGUUUUUUUGUUUGUUUGUUUAAAAAAAUCUUUUCCAUUACACUAUCAUACAACUUGGUGUUUUAGUGCCAUGUAAUGGGAAGCCCUAAGCAGAGGAGAGAAACUGCUCUGGGGCUGCAGCUCGCUAAGCAGAAGAGAUGCCCUGGCCCGGCUGGCCAGCAGGUCCGCUGGUUUCACUGCUGGUUUCACCUCUGCAGCCCCUCAGCCUCCAGCAGCUUUCACGUGGGAGGCCAGGAAGGAGCCAUUGCUGACCCCCUGCUCCAGCUAUGUGCAAGCAGCUGCCCUUCCUGCAGCUACGGAGAAGCUUCCUACCGGUGCCUGCAAUCACGCUGAACCCCAAGACAGCAUAUUCUGUAUUUGCAAGAAUCCGCUCUCUCGAGAAAAGCAUGGCCACCGAAAACGAACAGAUGACUGUGUGCAUUACUUACACUAUUGCUUUCUGUAUGGCUCGUGUCAGCAGUCUGCUCCAGGCUCUGAUGUCAAGCAACACUGAUAGACUGAGGCCAUGCAUGAAGGCAGCAUGAUGCAGAAAAAUUGAUACUCAGACAAGUUCUCACAGCAUCUGUAGAUUUGAGCUGCCUUUCUCAAGGUGAAACUCAUUCCACUUCAACUCUCUGACUGUGUAGAGGCAGCCACUAUGGCAGCAAAGCAGCGUGAAAAACUGGUCUCUUAGUCACGGGGAGUUAAUAGAGCCUUGUGAUAACUUUUGGUUUCAGGUGAUUUUUUGCAUGUGAUGCCAUGCAGGUAGAAAUCACUGCCCUACACAACCCGAAAAUAGGAGUCUAUAUCCAAUCAAGGUUAUCUUGUUUUCCUAAAAUACUAUUAUUUCUGACAAGUUUGGUGCAUAGAAAAAGAAGUCACAAAGCCCCCUGAAGCCUUUUUGAGCCUUCCCAGAUUGUUGCCUGCAAGGCUAAAAAGGCAAAGCUAAAUGUUUUCUCUUAGCAACCUGCUGCCAUAUGCCUGAGUAGGGGCUUCUCAACAAAAUCUUUGCUUCUGACAUCUCUUAAAGCACAUUGGGCUAGCCUGACCACUUCAUCUUUUGUCCUGAGAGUACAAAGAAGCUAAAGAGGUAAUGAAAUAUUGUCCUACACACAAGCUGUCCACGUAAUAAUACUUCUUAUGCUUCAAUACCAGGUUUGAAUUUUGUUUGUAUUGUUGAAAAGAAAGAUGUAAAUGAUUUAGAUAUAAAGAUUUGCAACAGAGAUUAAUUGAGCAUUGACUGAAUAAUGUUGAAAAGACUGUAGAUCAUGCGACAGAAAGAUGAUAAAUACGGGUUGCCAGAGAGAUUUCUCCUAAAAGCAUUUCCUCUGACUGAAAUAAGAGAGCACUGCAAUGCUCUCAGGCAGUGGCCUGGAAAUGUGUGGCUAGGCAUCAUUUCUUCAAGAUGCAAACAGUGAGUUUUCAGCCAGUAAUGAGACAAAAGGAUGAUCACAAAACUGACCCUCAGCCCAAGGAGGUACCAUGCCUCUGGGCUACGUGGAUGCCUCCGGGCUGCUUCCGUGACUGGGAGCUCUGUGAGAGCUGUGUCCUGCCAUGAGGAAUUGUUCGCACGCAUCUCCCGCUGCACGGGAAGGUACGUGGACAUAUGGAAGAUGUCAGCAGUGCUUCUUCAUAUCUGUCUUUCAUAACCAGCAUUGGGGAAAGAAAAUCAGUGGUUUUGUAAAUAAAGGGAUGCCAUCAGGAAUCUCUCAUCCAAAGCAAUUCAUGGAUGAAUUAGCUUGUGCUGGCUAUUUCUUUUCCCUCUUUCACAGUCUCUCUCUGCUGUGAAAUUUGACAGCUACAUAGGUGACCCUGAUAGGGCACAAAUGAGCCUUGGCUUGAACUUUGAAUUAUCAUUAAAACCUCUGCUGGCAUUAUGCAUAGGAUUUGACCAAACGUGUUGGCAAGCUGUUCCUGAAAAUAGUGGUCUCUGGUGGGUGUUUGACUAAUAAAGCUGCAAUACAGUGUGCUACGAUUGCUGGUUUCUGGUCAGAAGAGGCCUUCUCAAGAUCAGAAACACCACAGCUGCACAGUGACAGGUCAGGGACUGCCACGCAUUGCUAGAACUUAAAAUGGGAAUUAAUGUUUGAUGCUAAUACAGCCGCUUGUCUCCCUGUGUUCAUGACCUCCAAAGUCACCCACAGUUAUUAAAAUACAAUGCAAUUUUUUCUUAAGUGUGUAUUUUAAAUUCAAGUGGGUGUUAAGGGCUUCCUGUGAAACUGAUGGAUUCCACAUUCAUGCUUGUCUAUGGAAACAUCUGAAGUGUAAAAGGGUCUGUUAAAUAAACCUCAUUAUAUA